AUGACCACGCACCACCGAGCAGCAGCGGCGGCAGCAGCAUUUCCCCUCCACUCGCCGGGCUCCUCCACCGGCUCCGCCGACUCCGUGCCGUGGAGCAGCUGCCGCCACCACGCCCCGGCCACGCCGCCCCCGCCGCCGUUCGACACUAACGACGCCGACGAGAAGCUCCCGCGCAACAUGCUCUCCCAGCACCAGGACGGCUCCGCACACGGGACAGCGGCGGCGCCGCUGAAGCAGGAGCCCACCGACGCCGGGGUGGACGCCGGGCGCGCGUUCCGCGGCGUGCGGAAGCGGCCUUGGGGCAAGUACGCGGCGGAGAUCCGGGACUCGACGCGGAACGGCGUGAGGGUGUGGCUGGGCACGUUCGAGAGCCCGGAGGCGGCGGCGCUCGCCUACGACCAGGCGGCCUUCGCCAUGCGCGGCGGCGCCGCCGUCCUCAACUUCCCCGCGGACCAGGUCCGCCGCUCGCUGGAGGGCGCGGGGGAAGACGUGCGCGGCCGCGCCCACGGGGUGUCGCCCGUGCUGGCGCUCAAGCGGCGGCACUCCAUGCGGAGCCGAAAGGCCACGGCGUCGUCGCCGUGCCGCAAAAUAGCCAAGGCCGCCCGUGGGCGGCCGGAGGGCGUGGUGAUGGAGCUGGAGGACCUUGGCGCGGAGUACCUCGAGGAGCUGCUCGGCGCCGCCGACGACAUGACGGCCUCGGCUUCCGAUUCAUGGUGCUCGAGUCAUCAUUCCAUCUGA
rnacentral:rRNA from 1 species